CGUACUCCGGAUCGAAAAAAUCAAAACACGAAAAAUGUCCGGAAUAUUCAAAUUAGGCUAAAGGUAAGUUUUCUCGAAAUUUCCGGGAAGAAUAUUAAUAAUUAAUCAUAACUAAUUAACAAACAAAUUCACCAAUACCACUUAAUCACAUAACACAUAUAUUCACAUAAUAUUCAUACAGAAUUUUCAAAACAAUAUAUGAAAAUCAGUUUUGAAAAUACAAUUAUUUAUCAAUAACACAAUAACCCGGGGUUUAAAUAUAAAACUUUGAAAACUCAUUAAACUGGAAUAAAAUAUUACAUCUUAUUCCUUUCCUUUUUAAGAAAAUCAUUUAUAAUAUUAAUAAAAAUAUUUAAAAGUCCGGGUCACUACAAUCUACCCUCCUUAUAGGGAUUCCGUCCUCGGAAUCAGAGAAAGAAGGAGGACGCAGAAUCUGUAAAAUCCAUAUUAAUCCACGAAACAAGUAUAAUCACAUACAACUAUUCACAUAAUCACAUCAAUAUUCAAUUAGAGGCAACAAUAAUAUCUAGACAAAUAGAUUUAUAAUAAUCAAAUCUAAAUUUAAUAAUAUGGGAUAUUACA
rnacentral:lncRNA from 1 species